UACCGAGGGUGCGAGCGUUGUCCGGAAUCACUGGGCGUAAAGGGCGCGUAGGUGGUGGCUUAAGCGUGCGGUGAAAGCUCGGGGCUCAGCUCCGAGUCGGCCGUGCGAACUGGGCUCACUGGAGCAUAGUAGAGGCAGGUGGAAUUCCGGGUGUAGCGGUGGAAUGCGUAGAGAUCCGGAAGAACACCGGUGGCGAAGGCGGCCUGCUGGGCUAUGGCUGACACUGAGGCGCGACAGCGUGGGGAGCAAACAGG
rnacentral:rRNA from 1 species